rnacentral:lncRNA from 1 species
AAAACCCCAUCUCUACUAAAAACACAAAAAUUACCCGGGCGUGGUGGGUGCCCAUAAUCCCAGCUAUUCAGGUGGGUGAGGCAGGAGAAUCACUUGAACCCAGGAGGCAGACACUGCAGUGAGCCAAGAUUGUGACACUGCACUCCAGCCUGGGUGACACAGUGAGACUGUCUCAAAAAAAAAAAAAAUAUUUUUUUUAUUUUUGAGAGACAGGGUUUCGCUGUGUCACCCAGGCUGGUCUUGAUAUCCUGGUCUCAAGCAAUCCUCCCACCUUGGUCUCCCAAACUGCUGGGAUUACAGGUGUGAGCCACCUGCCCGGCCCUGCUUUUUUAAGAGAAAAAAACACAAGUGUCUCUUUUCCUAUGAGGUGUUCUACUGGGAUUGAGGUAUUUCUCUGGAAAGGGCUGGAUCCGAUCUUGCUCUGUGGCAGUCUCCCUGUGUAUGUACAAAAGCUUAGGUAGAGGCACUAAUGUGGGUGAUGGCCCUUUGAACCUGUGCCUAAAACAAUCUACCACAAGGAAUCCUGACUUUGUUGGCACAAGUGGACCGUCAUCUUCUGAAACCAGCUUUUCACUCUACAGUGGACAUUUUGACCGACAAUGAGGUUUGCCCAGCCCACAGGCAUUCCCCUUCCCUUGCUGCUACCAGGGAGACCCAGAUUCUGUCCAGGUGGGGGUUGUGGUGUACUUUGAGAUGGUAUGCCUAAGCAAGGCACAGGAAAUUCUGCUCCCCUCUGCAGGGACUAGUUCAGAGGUGCUGUAUGUUCAACAGCUCCUUAGAGGCUGUCUCUCAGGGACUUCUGGAAAAGAUUUCCCACCACGAUAAAAAGACUGCACAAAAAGAAACCCUGUACUUCCUUGUCAAGUGGGGAUGUGAAAGCUGGAGCUGCUACCAUCAUCUGAUCAUAAGGGGAAGGCCAAAGAAAUCUAGUAAGAAGCUGACCCAGUGCCCUGAUGCUGUGAAGCAAUGAAGUAAUAAUGGCCAGUGUCUGGGGCUUUCAUGUUUCCCACAUAACUGAUGAUGCUGAAGCCACUUUUAGUCAGGUGUUCUGUUAUUAUUCGUAGCUGAAAGGUUCCUGCUACUUCUUCCCUUGAUUUAAAAGGCAGCUCUCUGAGAAGACCAAGAACUGUAUUCCCCACUCCCUGCAAGAGACAACUACUCACCUGAAAAUGGUGUUUAUUAUUCUCUUGCAUGUUUUUAUACUUUUACUACUUGGUUUAAUUAUCGAGAUCAGGGGUCAGCAAACUACAGCUUACAGGCCAAAUCCAUCCUGCCAUCAGUUUUUGUAAAUAAAGUUUUACUGGAACAUAGCUGUGUCAUUCGUUUAAGUAUUGUCUACGGCUGCUUUCACAUCACAAUAGGAGAGCUGAGUGGCUAAAACAGAUACCAUAUGAAUUCUAAAGCCUAAAACAUUUACUAUCUGGCCCUUUAUAGAAAGUCUGCUACG